GUGAUGAGGAGGAAGUUUUGCUGGACCUAAUAGAAAAAAAAUAGGAAUUGUGUGACAGCUUUACCAGAGGCCUGGCAAAGAAAGAGAACGACCUAGCAUGGAGACAGAUACUUUGGAAAGUGAAAAUGCAAUGUACUGGGAAGAGGAACACAGGAACCCACAGGAGACAUCCAUCCAACGACUACGCUGCCUGGAGGAAGGACCUAUAUGCAGACCUGAAGUUACAGUUCUAUGCCUUUUCUUGAAAAGAUUGGUUUUGAACCAGGAUCCCGUUCUCUGAUGCAAUCAAGUGUUUGGGCUAAACACUGGAUAGUUUCUUUUAAUGGUUCUGUGUUAAGGCCUUUGACCCAUUUAUGCUUAAGCUAUCUUAAGUUGUCUUCUUGUGUUCUACUU